UUGAAUAACGUAAAUUUUUUAUUUUACGGAUGUUAACGAUGCUCGACUUGAUUACAUUUUGGUCGACUAUGUAUUGUCUAGCACACAAGGUGUGACUCUUAAAAUUAAGAGUUCACAAAAUAUCUUAAGUUUAAGUAAUUGCAACCAAAACAAGUCAAUGGAGUCUUUAAGCCAAGAAAGUCAUUGUAUUGAACCAUACCCUGACGCAAGUGCUAUUGAUAAUGAAGAGCCAGCUAGUAAAAAACAAAAAAUCGAAACUUAUAUAUCACCUCCUGCUUUAACUAAAAAUGUACGUUAAAAUAUGAAUUUUUUAAAUACUUCGAUUCUUACUGGAACAUUUCAUUGAAGAAAAUGAGACCUUUACAAUAACUGCUGUCACUUAAAAAUAAUAAUGAUUUAAUUUAUCACUAUUUUAAAAAUUAGAAGAAUUAAUCUUAGCUACUUCAUAUGGCGAGGGACUGAUAAAUGAUUAUAAAGAGCGUGGAUUUUUGACGAAUUCGCAUCGAAAAAAAUUAGUUCAGUUAAUUGUGAACCAUCUUAUUAAUUACAAAAAAAAAGUUAAAAGACCACUUACAUCGAAAAAUAAAUCUGACUGCGCAGCUGCAGUCAUUGAAUUAUUCCCGAUUCUCCGGAAUCCUCACGGAAACCUAGGAUAUGAACAUUUUUAUGAUCCACAAACUCGCACGGGCUACAUAACUACCGGAUUAUAAAAUUAUUCUAGAAAUUUGGCAGAUUCUAAAAAUACUAAUAAACAAGCGGAAAAGGCCUCUUCUGUUAUACUCCCAAUUAAAAUUACUGAACCUGUUAAUGAGACGAUUGAUGUUGUAGAAGCAAUAAAAUUUAUGCAAAGUGCUACCAUUCACCAGAAAGAUGCUAUAAUCGAAAAAUCUAAACAAACAUUCGACAUACGGCGAUAUUCAUACUUGAAUGAUAACUCGUUCACAGUAUUUCCGCGAUUCAUCGAUGUUCCUGAACUGGUAAGCUCAUAACUGCAUAGAUAAUUAGCUACUAUAUAAUAGUUUAACUGAAAGUGAAUUUAUGU